rnacentral:tRNA from 1 species
GCAGUGGUGGUUCAGUGAUAGAAUUCUCACCCUCCAUGUGGGAAACGUGAGUUCGAUUCCUGGCCAGUGCA